CCCCUCCCGACAAUGGCACUCAAAUUCUCUCAUUUUCUCAUGCCCUCUCUGUCACAUUCGUAGCUCGAUCUCCCUCUUCUGGGACUUAGCGUUCUGAGCAUGCGGUUUUUGCAACGGUCAUUUCGUGCCACUUCGAUCUCAUCACCUUCUUUCCCCUCCCACCCCUCUUUUUGAUCCGCGCUUUGGGGCUUGCAAAUUUUUGACAUGUCAAAUGAGAGUGAAGCUAAAAUGUAAACAACAAGUGUUCGCGUGUGCCGUGAUUUUAAUAAACAUAAAAUCAACCACGGAAGUAUGAUUUAGUUGUGGUGGAAGCGAAAAAAAAUGCUUGGAGCAUGGAAUAAAACCGGAUGAAAUUUCUAGCCUUCACGCACGAUGCCGACGCUGAGGUUUUACAGGUGAACAACAAUUAGCAACUCCCGAUCGAAUUGCACACAACAACCACCCACAAUCACAGCUGUAAAAAGUAACACGGAUAGGUAGCAAGGAAAUCAAGCUUGUACACAGAAAUCUACACAAAAACUGGGUUUUAUAAGCGUACGAAAAGCGACGCGGCUAUCUUUGAAUAAAAAGUAAACAAAA